rnacentral:tRNA from 1 species
AGGAGUGUAGCUCAAUUGGUAGAGCACCGGUCUCCAAAACCGGGGGUUAGAGGUUCGAUCCCUCUCGCUCCUGCCA